UACGAAGGGGGCAAGCGUUGUUCGGAAUUACUGGGCGUAAAGGGCGCGUAGGCGGUGCUCUAAGUCAGGCGUGAAAGCCCUGGGCUCAACCUGGGAACUGCGCUUGAUACUGGGGCGCUUGAAUCCAGGAGAGGUUGGUGGAAUUCCCAGUGUAGAGGUGAAAUUCGUAGAGAUUGGGAAGAACACCGGUGGCGAAGGCGGCCAACUGGACUGGUAUUGACGCUGAGGCGCGAAAGCGUGGGGAGCAAACAGG
rnacentral:rRNA from 1 species